GAUGAACGCUGGCGGCGUGCCUAAUACAUGCAAGUCGAGCGAACAGACGAGGAGCUUGCUCCUCUGACGUUAGCGGCGGACGGGUGAGUAACACGUGGAUAACCUACCUAUAAGACUGGGAUAACUUCGGGAAACCGGAGCUAAUACCGGAUAAUAUAUUGAACCGCAUGGUUCAAUAGUGAAAGACGGUUUUGCUGUCACUUAUAGAUGGAUCCGCGCCGCAUUAGCUAGUUGGUAAGGUAACGGCUUACCAAGGCAACGAUGCGUAGCCGACCUGAGAGGGUGAUCGGCCACACUGGAACUGAGACACGGUCCAGACUCCGACGGGAGGCAGCAGUAGGGAAUCUUCCGCAAUGGGCGAAAGCCUGACGGAGCAACGCCGCGUGAGUGAUGAAGGUCUUCGGAUCGUAAAACUCUGUUAGUAGGGAAGAACAAAUGUGUAAGUAACUAUGCACGUCUUGACGGUACCUAAUCAGAAAGCCACGGCUAACUACGUG
rnacentral:rRNA from 1 species